rnacentral:rRNA from 1 species
GACGAACGCUGGCGGCGUGCUUAACACAUGCAAGUCGAACGGAAAGGCCCUGCUUUUGUGGGGUGCUCGAGUGGCGAACGGGUGAGUAACACGUGAGCAACCUGCCCUUGACUUUGGGAUAACUUCAGGAAACUGGGGCUAAUACCGGAUAGGAGCUCCUGCUGCAGGGUGGGGGUUGGAAAGUUUCGGCGGUUGGGGAUGGACUCGCGGCUUAUCAGCUUGUUGGUGGGGUAGUGGCUUACCAAGGCUUUGACGGGUAGCCGGCCUGAGAGGGUGACCGGCCACAUUGGGACUGAGAUACGGCCCAGACUCCUACGGGAGGCAGCAGUGGGGAAUAUUGCACAAUGGGCGGAAGCCUGAUGCAGCAACGCCGCGUGCGGGAUGACGGCCUUCGGGUUGUAAACCGCUUUCGCCUGUGACGAAGCGUGAGUGACGGUAAUGGGUAAAGAAGCACCGGCUAACUACGUGCCAGCAGCCGCGGUGAUACGUAGGGUGCGAGCGUUGUCCGGAUUUAUUGGGCGUAAAGGGCUCGUAGGUGGUUGAUCGCGUCGGAAGUGUAAUCUUGGGGCUUAACCCUGAGCGUGCUUUCGAUACGGGUUGACUUGAGGAAGGUAGGGGAGAAUGGAAUUCCUGGUGGAGCGGUGGAAUGCGCAGAUAUCAGGAGGAACACCAGUGGCGAAGGCGGUUCUCUGGGCCUUUCCUGACGCUGAGGAGCGAAAGCGUGGGGAGCGAACAGGCUUAGAUACCCUGGUAGUCCACGCUGUAAACGGUGGGUACUAGGUGUGGGGUCCAUUCCACGGGUUCCGUGCCGUAGCUAACGCUUUAGGUACCCCGCCUGGGGAGUACGGCCGCAAGGCUAAAACUCAAAGGAAUUGACGGGGCCCCGCACAAGCGGCGGAGCAUGCGGAUUAAUUCGAUGCAACGCGUAGAACCUUACCUGGGUUUGACAUGGAUCGGGAGCGCUCAGAGAUGGGUGUGCCUCUUUUGGGGUCGGUUCACAGGUGGUGCAUGGCUGUCGUCAGCUCGUGUCGUGAGAUGUUGGGUUAAGUCCCGCAACGAGCGCAACCCUUGUUCACUGUUGCCAGCACGUUAUGGUGGGGACUCAGUGGAGACCGCCGGGGUCAACUCGGAGGAAGGUGGGGAUGACGUCAAGUCAUCAUGCCCCUUAUGUCCAGGGCUUCACGCAUGCUACAAUGGCUGGUACAGAGAGUGGCGAGCCUGUGAGGGUGAGCGAAUCUCGGAAAGCCGGUCUCAGUUCGGAUUGGGGUCUGCAACUCGACCUCAUGAAGUCGGAGUCGCUAGUAAUCGCAGAUCAGCAACGCUGCGGUGAAUACGUUCCCGGGGCU